rnacentral:rRNA from 1 species
GACGAACGCUGGCGGCGUGCUUAACACAUGCAAGUCGAACGCUGAACCCGCUUCGGUGGGGGAUGAGUGGCGAACGGGUGAGUAACACGUGGGCAACCUGCCCCCGGCUCUGGGAUAACUCCAAGAAAUUGGGGCUAAUACCGGAUGUGACCGCUGGCCGCAUGGUCUGGUGGUGGAAAGGGUUUCCGGCUGGGGAUGGGCCCGCAGCCUAUCAGCUUGUUGGUGGGGUAGUGGCCUACCAAGGCGACGACGGGUAGCCGGCCUGAGAGGGUGACCGGCCACACUGGGACUGAGACACGGCCCAGACUCCUACGGGAGGCAGCAGUGGGGAAUAUUGCGCAAUGGGCGGAAGCCUGACGCAGCGACGCCGCGUGGGGGAUGACGGCCUUCGGGUUGUAAACCUCUUUCAGCAGGGACGAAGCGCAAGUGACGGUACCUGCAGAAGAAGCACCGGCCAACUACGUG